AAGUCGUAACAAGGUCUUCGUAGGUGAACCUGCGGAGGGAUCAUUACCGAGUUAGGGUCCUCAUCGGGCCCGACCUCCCAACCCAUUGUUUAUGAUACCUAGUGUUACUUCGGUAGGCCUGGUCUCUACCUGCUGGGGGGCCGUCACACGCCCGCCGGAGAGUGCCUGCCGACAGCCUAAACCUCAAAAUCUUUAACCAAACGUGUCUUUGUCUGAGUAAACGUCUUUAAUAAAAGCAAAACUUUCAACAACGGAUCUCUUGGUUCUG
rnacentral:misc_RNA from 1 species